rnacentral:rRNA from 1 species
AAAAAAAAAGAUAACGUAGCGAAAGUUACGCUAAUACCGCAUACGAUCUUAGGAUGAAAGCAGGGGACCGCAAGGCCUAAAAAUCCUGGAGCGGCCGAUAUCUGAUUAGCUAGUUGGUAGGGUAAAGGCCUACCAAGGCUACGAUCCAGUAGCUGGUCUGAGAGGACGACCAGCCACACUGGAACUGAGACACGGUCCAGACUCCUACGGGAGGCAGCAGUGGGGAAUUUUGGACAAUGGGCGCAAGCCUGAUCCAGCAAUGCCGCGUGAGUGAAGAAGGCCUUCGGGUUGUAAAGCUCUUUUGUCAGGGAAGAAACGGUGCGGGCUAAUAUCCUGCGCUAAUGACGGGACCUGAAGAAUAAGCACCGGCUAACUACGUGCCAGCAGCCGCGGUAAAAGGGCG